GUGUUUCCCGAGUAGCACGGAGCCCGUGAAACUUCGUGUGAAUCUGCCAGGACCACCUGGUAAGCCUGAAUACUACCUGAUGACCGAUAGCGGACCAGUACCGUGAGGGAAAGGUGAAAAGCACCCCGGGAGGGGAGUGAAAUAGUACCUGAAACCGUGUGCCUACAAGCCGUCGGAGCCUUUUGGGGUGACGGCGUGCCUUUUGAAGAAUGAGCCUGCGAGUUAGUGUCAUGUCGCGAGGUUAACCCGUGUGGGGUAGUCGUAGCGAAAGCGAGUCUGAAGAGGGCGUUGAGUGGCGUGAUCUAGACCCGAAGCGAAGUGAUCUACCCAUGGCCAGGUUGAAGCGCGUGUAAGAGCGCGUGGAGGACCGAACCCACUUCAGUUGAAAAUGGAGGGGAUGAGCUGUGGGUAGGGGUGAAAGGCCAAUCAAACUUCGUGAUAGCUGGUUCUCCCCGAAAUGCAUUUAGGUGCAGCGUCGUGUGUUUCUUGCCAGAGGUAGAGCUACUGGAUGGCUGAUGGGCCCCAACGGGUUACUGACGUCAACCAAACUCCGAAUGCUGGUAAGUGAGAGCACGGCAGUGAGACUGUGGGGGAUAAGCUUCAUAGUCGAAAGGGAAACAGCCCAGACCACCGACUAAGGCCCCUAAGCGUGUGCUAAGUGGGAAAGGAUGUGGAGUUGCUCAGACAACCAGGAGGUUGGCUUAGAAGCAGCCAUCCUUGAAAGAGUGCGUAAUAGCUCACUGGUCAAGUGAUUCCGCGCCGAUAAUGUAGCGGGGCUCAAGUACACCGCCGAAGUCGUGGCAAUGCA
rnacentral:rRNA from 1 species